rnacentral:rRNA from 1 species
UACGUAGGUGGCAAGCGUUGUCCGGAUUUACUGGGUGUAAAGGGCGUGUAGGCGGGUUUUUAAGUCAGAUGUGAAAUACCGGGGCUCAACUCCGGGGCUGCAUCUGAAACUGGAGAUCUUGAGUACUGGAGGGGAAAGUGGAAUUCCUAGUGUAGCGGUGAAAUGCGUAGAGAUUAGGAGGAACACCAGUGGCGAAGGCGGCUUUCUGGCCUGUAACUGACGCUGAGGCGCGAAAGUGUGGGGAGCAAACAGGAUUAGGAUACCCCGGUAGUCCCUGAGCGGG